rnacentral:rRNA from 1 species
GGGUGCAAUCAUACUAGCAUUAAUGCACUGGAUCCCAUCAGAACUCCACAAUUAAGCGCACUUGGGCUAUGGACGUUGUAAUAU